UACGUAGGGGGCUAGCGUUGUCCGGAAUCAUUGGGCGUAAAGAGCUCGUAGGCGGUCUGUUGCGUCGGCUGUGAAAACCCGGGGCUCAACUCCGGGCCUGCAGCCGAUACGGGCAGACUAGAGUUCGGUAGGGGAGACUGGAAUUCCUGGUGUAGCGGUGAAAUGCGCAGAUAUCAGGAGGAACACCGGUGGCGAAGGCGGCAUCCUGGACCGAGAUUGACGCUGAGGCGCGAAAGCCAGGGGAGCAAACGGG
rnacentral:rRNA from 1 species